GACGAACGCUGGCGGCGUGCUUAACACAUGCAAGUCGUACGGUAAGGCCCUUUCGGGGGGACACGAGUGGCGAACGGGUGAGUAACACGUGAGUAACCUGCCCACAACUUUCCGAUAACGCUAGUAAACUGGUGCUAAUACUUGAUAUGUGCUCCUGCUGCAUGGUGGGGGUUGGAAAGCUACGGCGGUUGUGGAUUGACUCGCGGCCUUUCCGCGUGUUGGUGGGGUAGUGGCCUACCAAGGCGGCGACGGGUAGCCGGCCUGGGAGGGUGACCGGCCACAGUGGGACUGGGAUACGGCCCAGACUCCGACGGGUGGGAGAAGUAGCGAAGAUUGAUAAAGGAGCGCGAGCCUGAUGCAGCACCACCAAGUGCGGGAUAACGGCCUUGGCGUUGUAAACCGAAUGCACCAGGGUCGAAGCUUUUUGUGACGGUACCUGCAGAAGAAGCACCGGCUAACUACGUG
rnacentral:rRNA from 1 species